GCCAGGCGUGGUGGCACAUGCCUGUCAUCCCAGCGGCUUAGGAGGCUGAGGCAGGAGGAUCACGAGUUAUAACCAGCCUCAGCCAAAGGGAGGCUCUAAGCAACUCAGUGAGACCCUGUCUCUA
rnacentral:sRNA from 1 species